UACGUAGGGGGCAAGCGUUGUCCGGAUUUAUUGGGCGUAAAGAGCGUGUAGGCGGUUUGGUAGGUCCGUUGUGAAAACUCGAGGCUCAACCUCGAGACGCCGGCGGAAACCAUCAGGCUAGAGUCCGGAAGAGGAGAGUGGAAUUCCUGGUGUAGCGGUGAAAUGCGCAGAUAUCAGGAAGAACACCGAUGGCGAAGGCAGGUCUCUGGGCCGAUACUGACGCUGAGGAGCGAAAGCGUGGGGAGCGAACAGG
rnacentral:rRNA from 1 species